rnacentral:rRNA from 1 species
UACGGAGGGUGCAAGCGUUAAUCGGAAUUACUGGGCGUAAAGCGUGCGCAGGCGGUUUGUUAAGUCCGUUGUGAAAGCCCCGAGCUCAACUUGGGAAUUGCAGUGGAUACUGGCAGGCUGGAGUACGGUAGAGGAAGGUGGAAUUCCCGGUGUAGCAGUGAAAUGCGUAGAGAUCGGGAGGAACAUCCAUGGCGAAGGCAGCUACCUGGACCAACACUGACACUGAGGCACGAAAGCGUGGGGAGCAAACAGG